CAGCCGCCGCGGUAAUACGAUGGGGGCUAGCGUUGUUCGGAUUUACUGGGCGUAAAGGGCGCGUAGGCGGACUGAUAAGUCAGGGGUGAAAUCCCAAGGCUCAACCUUGGAACUGCCUUUGAUACUGUUUGUCUUGAGUUCGAGAGAGGUAAGUGGAACUGCGAGUGUAGAGGUGAAAUUCGUAGAUAUUCGCAAGAACACCAGUGGCGAAGGCGGCUUACUGGCUCGAUACUGACGCUGAGGCGCGAAAGCGUGGGGAGCAAACAGGAUUAGAUACCCCCGUAGUCCCUGUCUCUUAUAC
rnacentral:rRNA from 1 species